ensembl:snRNA U6 U6 spliceosomal RNA
AUACUGCCACUGCACAAAGCUGAAAAAAAUUGGAAGGAUACAGAGAAAAUUAGCAUGGCCUCUGCGCAAGGGUGACACGCAAAUUCGUAAAGCGUUCCAUAUUUUU